rnacentral:lncRNA from 1 species
GGGGGAAAAAUAUGAAACAACCCUAAUUUCUCAAUCACGAAACUAUUAUAAGAAAGUUGGAACGAAAACACUAGAGCUUACCAGAGCUAUCCCCAAUUCCAAGUUCACAAGCUCAACCUCUGAAACUCGAAGAUAGAGAGAGAUGAUUCAGAUAGAAAAUAUCAAGUUCGAGAAAUCUUGCUUCAGCUCAGCUCAUCUGCUACUCCAUGUGUAAUAGCCG